GAAACACGGACCAAGGAGUCUAGCAUGUGCGCGAGUCAUUGGGACAUAACUAAACCUAAAGGCGCAAUGAAAGUGAAUGUCCGCCUCGCGCGGACAGAGGGAAGAUGGGCGCCGGUCGUAACAAGCCGCGUCCCGCAUUCCCGGGGCGUCUCGUUCUCAUUGCGAGAAGAGGCGCACCAAGAGCGUACACGCUGGGACCCGAAAGAUGGUGAACUAUGCCUGGUCAGGACGAAGUCAGGGGAAACCCUGAUGGAGGUCCGUAGCGAUUCUGACGUGCAAAUCGAUCGUCGGAACUGGGUAUAGGGGCGAAAGACUAAUCGAACCAUCUAGUAGCUGGUUCCCUCCGAAGUUUCCCUCAGGAUAGCUGGCGCUCGUAGCGCACGAGUCUCAUCCGGUAAAGCGAAUGAUUAGAGGCAUUGGGGCCGAAACGGCCUCAACCUAUUCUCAAACUUUAAAUGGGUGAGAUCUCCGGCUUGCUCGAACCGAUGAAGCCGCGAGAUACGGAUCAGAGUGCCAAGUGGGCCAUUUUUGGUAAGCAGAACUGGCGCUGUGGGAUGAACCAAACGUUGAGUUAAAGCGCCCAAAUCGACGCUUAUGGGACACCAUGAAAGGCGUUGGUAACUUAAGACAGCAGGACGGUGGCCAUGGAAGUCGGAAUCCG
rnacentral:rRNA from 1 species